CAACCCUAUGCGGUGGAUCACUUGGCUCGCGAGUCGAUGAAGAGCGCAGCAAACUGCGUGAAUUAAUGUGAUUUGCAGGACACAUUGAUCAUCGAUAUCUUGAACGCAUAUUGCGGUUAUGGAUCGCUUCCAUGACCACGCCUGUCUGAGGGUCGGUAUUAAUAU
rnacentral:rRNA from 1 species